AUGGUGGCCGGGCUGGGGCCGUGGCUGCUGGCCUUGGCCUUGGGGCCGGCAGGAGUGUGCACCCAGUGGCAACUGGUAGAGUUUGGUGGAGAUGUGCGAGCAUCUGGGGACUCUGUGUCCCUGCUCUGCCAGACAUCUGGAUUUAGCUUCAGUGUCUAUGACAUACACUGGUACCGUCAGACCCCCGGAGGCAUUCCUGAAUGGGUGUCAUUCAUCGGCAGCCAGGCUGGUACUACGAAGAAAUAUGGGACAGCAGUGGAAGGUCGAGCCACCGUCUUCCGGAACAAUUCCCAAGCUGUGGCAUCUCUGUCCCUUCACCACUUGCAUCCUGGGGACUCAGCUCGCUACUUUUGUGGCCUUGCACUGUGA